CUUCUCUAGACAAAACAGUAUUAACUUUUGGUAAACAUGCUCAGGUUUACUGCUGCAGUUCUUAGAUUCUUCAUUAAUAUAAUUUUAAGGCAUAAUGUCUAUAUUACUAUUCUACUAAUAGGUACCACAAAUGGAAAUGAAGUAACACAGGCAGAAUCAAGCAAAACUGUUUAUGCAGAGAAAGAUGCUAUUCUAUCCUGCAAUUAUUCAACAGCAGGUCAACCAUAUCUGUACUGGUAUCAGCAGAAAGCAAAUGGGCCUUUAAAGUACCUAGAUCUACACCUAAAUACAGCUAAAACUGAAGCAACAGCAGGUCGUUUCACAUCACACUUGAAUGUUUCCAAGAAAUUUGUGUUUCUGAAUAUCUCUAGAGCCCAGCUGUCUGACUCGGCAAUUUACUACUGUGCGAUGAGUGACACAGUGACUGAUGUUCCUCUUAACAUCAAGCAAAAAACUCUAAGCUGGUGUUUUUGGAACCAAAGCUAG